UACAGAGGUCUCAAGCGUUGUUCGGAUUCAUUGGGCGUAAAGGGUGCGUAGGCGGCGCGGUAAGUCGGGUGUGAAAUCCUGGAGCUCAACUCCAGAACUGCCUUCGAUACUGGCGAUCUUGAGUCCGGGAGAGGUGAGUGGAACUCCGAGUGUAGAGGUGAAAUUCGUAGAUAUUCGGAAGAACACCAGUGGCGAAGGCGGCUCACUGGCCCGGUACUGACGCUGAGGUGCGAAAGCGUGGGGAGCAAACAGG
rnacentral:rRNA from 1 species